UUGUCCUUCUAUGGGUUCAUUAGCAAGUUGCCUUUUAUAUUUGUCUCUGUAGGUUUGAUGCUGAGACUUCAAAGACAGUAGAUACAGAAGUGGGACUUUAGAUUGCGAACUUUUAGAGAAACUGUGUUCUUGCUCUUGGCAGUAGCUUCAUUCUCCUUGCUGGGGAGGCAGAAGGUAUGUGAUGUAUUUUUUCUCUGUAGAUACCUCCUCCUAUGGUUUGAAUAGUUAGGUUUUCUCUCUCUUAUAACUGGCCGUGGCAGUGGAAAUUAAUCCAUAUUCCUGUUGAGAGGAUUUAUUUCUGUCACCUUAUAUUUAUGAUUAUGUAUGUAUUAUAUGCUCACCUAACUUGUAC
rnacentral:lncRNA from 1 species